CAAUGCAUACCGUUACAACGGAUUCCUAUUUCAUAUAAAUGCUUGAACUUUAUAUCCUAAAAAUUAUCCCGAUUUCCACAAAAAUAUUAAGCAGCACAACCAUUUUCAACACUGGUAAUAAAUUUCAAAAUAAAAUAAUUUACAAUAAACAUACUGCUACUCUAGAUAAUUUUUAUGCAUGCUUGCUGAAUAAAAAUAUUGAUUUCCUUAAAAAAACGGUAGCUAGUGUUUUCUUGUUAAGAGAAUACCUCACCCAAAAAUGAAAAUUGUUACCUGAAAAAAAACAACCUGUUUUGUUCCCCACAUGCUUCAAAAUGUCUUCUUUUGUGUUCAGC